rnacentral:rRNA from 1 species
AAUGAAUUAAUUUAAUAGCCGCAGUAUAUUGACUGUGCAAAGGUAGCAUAAUAAAUUGUCUCUUAAUUGGGGGCUGGAAUGAAUGAUGGGAUGUGAUGGAUGCUGUCUUUAUAAUAAUUGAUUGAAAUUUACUUUUUGAUGAGAAGGUUAAGAUAAUAUUGAUAGACGAGAAGACCCUAUUAAGCUUUAUUUGGAUGGUGAUUUUGUUGUGUUAAUUUGGUUAGUGAAUUUUUGUCUAGAUUUUGUUGGGGCAAUGUUUGAAUAUAUUGUAAUUUUUUAAUGUCAGUUAGGUUGUGAUCCGUCUUUGACGAUUAGUGGAGUAAGUUACUGUAGGGAUAACAGCGUAAUCAGUUUGGAGAGUUCAUAUUGGUAAAUUGGAUUGCGACCUCGAUGUUGGUUUAAUGAGUCUUUAGGGUGUAGCAGCUUUAGAAGA